rnacentral:rRNA from 1 species
CCUACGGGUGGCAGCAGUGAGGAAUAUUGGUCAAUGGCCGGAAGGCUGAACCAGCCAUGCCGCGUGAAGGUCAGUGCCCUAUGGGCGUUAAACUUCUUUUGUGCGGGGGCAAUAAUGGUCACGUGUGGCCAGACGAGAGUACCGUACGAAUAAGCAUCGGCUAACUCCGUGCCAGCAGCCGCGGUCAUACGGGGGAUGCAAGCGUUAUCCGGAUUUAUUGGGUUUAAAGGGUGCGUAGGCUGUGAGGUAAGUCAGCGGUGAAAUGCCCCCGCUCAACGGGGUGAAGUGCCAUUGAUACUGCCUGGCUGGAAUGCGGAUGCCGUGGGAGGAAUGUGUGGUGUAGCGGUGAAAUGCAUAGAUAUCACACAGAACACCGAUUGCGAAGGCAUCUCACGAAUCCGCGAUUGACGCUGAUGCACGAAAGCGUGGGUAUCAAACAGGAUUAGAUACCCUUGUAGUC